AUGGGGAAGGUAAAAAACAAAUUAUAUUAUUUUUCAAUAAAAACUCUUUUUACCGUAAAAAAAAAACAAAAGGAAUUCUCUUCUGUCAUAAACCUCCAUCUCUUUUCCUGUUCUCUAUGCUUUACUGUGAAAGAAAAAAAAUCCUUCUCCAAUCUAUUCACAAAUUUCUACCUUCAAAAGCUCUGCCUUCUUCUUCGCGGGUAUGUGGUUUGCAAAAUCAAGGAUUUGGAAGGUGGAUACGGUGGAGGUUAUUGUUGCGCGAAGGUGAACGAUGAAGGGGAACAAAGGCGGUGGCUCGGUGAUGGUGGAUGA